rnacentral:lncRNA from 1 species
UUCAUCUUUUAACCAAAUAACAAUACCAUCCUAUGUUUUCAGAUAAAAACAUAAGCAACCAUAUAACUAGAUUAAAAUGUUCAGCCAAACAGACAAACAUCGGUUGCUAAGUAGCAACUAGAUUAACAAUUCUUCAGCACAGUUCAAAAAGUAAUCAUAAACCAAACGAACCAUUUGAAAACACAAACUCAUUACGACAAUGGUACAACCUAAUGAGGAAUUUGGUUGAACCGAUCAGAGUGUCAAACUAACUAAACUCGUAGUAACUAAGACAAAUGUAUAAUCAAUAUAAAAAAAUAAUUAACUGAUUAACAAAACUUUAAACAAGAAGAGUCAAUACGAGUUAGUGUUUUGUUGAAACUAAACUAGAACAACUAUCCUAAUUUAACAAAAUCAAAAGCACGAAUUACAUAGUUAGGGAAAACAUAAGCAUGUAACACCAAUUAAAGCCUAAUCCUAAUUACUAAUGAAAUAGAAACUAUAUUAAGCGUUAAACUAAGACAACCACUAACCUAAUUAAAAUUAAAAAGAUAUUUACAAUCAAGUAGCAUUGAAACAACAAGCCACAAGUACAAAGGAAAAAGUUUGGAUGUCACCUAAGCGCUCGAGCUUCAAAUCAGUAGUGUGACACAGAUAGACAGUGAAUCGACCCCAACUCCUCUUUUUUCGAUUACAAAUGCCAAACAAUACAAACUCCAGCGAACCAGGUUGAGUUCGACACUGUGUCAAAGAGAAGAAGAGAUUAAGGGGUCUUGUUCAAAUAGAAUGGAGGCUUGGCGGAGGCAGUGGGCCAAAGUUCGCCAGUUUUUAGAGGAGUUUGGAAGGUUUUGGGGAGGGUAAUGGAGAAGAGAAGGGUACAAGAAGGCCGGUGGUGUAAAAUAUUCAGAGUUUGGGGGUGAUGAGCGGCUACUAGGGUUUCGGUUAAGCUUACAUUUACAGAGAUUGAGAGGGGUUACGGGGAUUUGGGAUUCCCAUUCAUGGAGAGGAGGUUGAGCGGAAGAAGUAGUCAAAUUUUGGGGGUGGUUUGGAGGUGGUUUGCAGGCGGUGGUGAUUUACGGCCGGCGGAGAUUGGCGGCGAAAGGCGGGUCUCUAAGAAGAGAGGAGAGAGUGAGAAGAGAGAGGAAGAAGAAAGAGAUAUGAGGGAAAUAGGGGCAAUUUUCGGUCCCUAUAGGCUUUAAAUACCUAGGUGAGAGAUUGAACUAGGACUGUUAGAUCAAGUCAAGAUGUGUGGCUAAGAGUAAAUCUCAACGACUUAACCAAAGCGACGUCGUUCUGAAGCGUCUGGUUGGGUCUUGAGCUGGGCGGGUCGAAUGUAAUUGGGCUGCAGAUUUGCUCCAUGUUUUGGGCCAAUUGUGCUUUAGAACCAACAAAUCAAUCCAUAUUAACCCCAUCAAGCAAUAUUUAAGAACUCUAAUUCUAAAAUCUACAAACACACACAAAAUAAAUCUAAAAAAGGUAUAAUGUAGGAGAAAAGAAAAGGAAAAAAAUUGGGUAUUUACACACAGAUAGCCAUUUUUAAGGAUGUUAUUUAAAGAUUAGCCAGUACUUAUUUUUGUCCUAAAAUUUUUAUUUUAAAAUCUUAAUUUCAGGACAAUUCAAGACACUUUCUUCAUAAAAAAUUGAACUAGAAAACUAAAAUUCAGAAUGCACUAGCUAAUUCCUAAAUAGCAUCCCUUUAGAGUGACGACUUGGUGUCAUUUCUACAUAUUAUGUAUCUUCUUAUUUCUUUAUGUAUUAUGAAGAAUCC